CAGUCGCCGCGGUAAAACGGAGGGAGCUAGCGUUGUUCGGAAUUACUGGGCGUAAAGCGCGCGUAGGCGGUUACUCAAGUCAGAGGUGAAAGCCCGGGGCUCAACCCCGGAACUGCCUUUGAAACUAGGUGACUAGAAUCUUGGAGAGGUCAGUGGAAUUCCGAGUGUAGAGGUGAAAUUCGUAGAUAUUCGGAAGAACACCAGUGGCGAAGGCGACUGACUGGACAAGUAUUGACGCUGAGGUGCGAAAGCGUGGGGAGCAAGCAGGAUUAGAUACCCCCGUAGUCCCUGUCUCUUAUAC
rnacentral:rRNA from 1 species